rnacentral:rRNA from 1 species
GACGAACCGUCCAAACGUUAUUCGGAAUCACUGGGCUUAAAGGGUGCGUAGGCGGUCCGGGAAGUUGGGUGUGAAAGCCCUCAGCUCAACUGAGGAAUUGCGCCCAAAACUGCCGGGCUGGAGGGAGACAUAGGUGAGCGGAACUUAGGGUGGAGCGGUGAAAUGCGUUGAGAUCCUAAGGAACACCAGUAGCGAAAGCGGCUCACUGGGUCUCUUCUGACGCUGAAGCACGAAAGCUAGGGGAG